CUACGGGGCGCUCCAGUGAGGAAUAUUGGACAAUGGUCGAAAGACUGAUCCAGCCAUGCCGCGUGCAGGAUGACUGCCCUAUGGGUUGUAAACUGCUUUUAUACGGGAAGAAAAACACCUACGUGUAGGUGACUGACGGUACCGUAAGAAUAAGGACCGGCUAACUCCGUGCCAGCAGCCGCGGUAAUACGGAGGGUCCAAGCGUUAUCCGGAAUCAUUGGGUUUAAAGGGUCCGUAGGCGGGCUAUUAAGUCAGAGGUGAAAGUUUGCAGCUCAACUGUAAAAUUGCCUUUGAUACUGAUAGUCUUGAAUUGUAGUGAAGUGGUUAGAAUAUGUGGUGUAGCGGUGAAAUGCAUAGAUAUCACAUAGAAUACCGAUUGCGAAGGCAGAUCACUAACUAUAUAUUGACGCUGAUGGACGAAAGCGUGGGGAGCGAACGGGAUUAGAUACCCCUGUAGUC
rnacentral:rRNA from 1 species